rnacentral:rRNA from 2 species
UGAGAAGUUUGGCUUUCUUAAACCAUAUUUUGAGAUGAAGUCCAGACGUUUGGAUACGUGCGCCUAGUGGGCCAUUUUUGGUAAGCAGAACUGGCGCUGCGGGAUGAACCGAACGUUGAGUUACGGCGCCCGACGAGACGCUCAUCAGAUCCCAUAAAAGGUGUUGGUUGCUAUAGACAGCAGGACGGUGGCCAUGGAAGUCGGAAUCCGCUAAGGAGUGUGUAACAACUCACCUGCCGAAGCAACUAGCCCUGAAAAUGGAUGGCGCUGUAGCGUCUGGCCUAUACUCAACCGUUAUUGUAAUGGUGUUUAAAAGCAUCCAUAUAUUAAUACAGUCAAACAAUAACGAGUAGGAGGGCCGCGGCGGUAGCGUUGAAGGCGUACGGGCGUGAGCCUGGCUGGAGCUGCCGUCGGUGCAGAUCUUGGUGGUAGUAGCAAAUACUCAAGCGAGAACCUUGAGGACUGAAGUGGAGAAGGGUUCCAUGUGAACAGCAGUUGAACAUGGGUCAGUCGACCCUAAGGUAUCGGCGAAAGCCGUUCAGAAGCGGUGUGGAUAUGUGUGCAGAAAUGUAUACAGGUUAUUGGGUUACCUGCUGGUUAAUGAAACGGGGCUUGACUGGGUUAAACUGGUCGGGCUGCUGUCAUUGAUUAGUAGCCAAUAAUCACCGCACCUGCCGAAAGGGAAUCGGGUUAAUAUUCCCGAACCUGGCAUCGGAGACUGAAUGAUCUUCGGGUCAUUUUCAUGCGGUAACGCAAAUGAACUCAGAGACGCUGACACGUACCCUGGGAAGAGUUGUCUUUUCUUGAUAAGGAGCAAACUGCCUGGAAUCGGAUCAUCCGGCGAUAGGGAGAAAGCAUCCGUAAAGCACCGCGGUUCUUGCGGUGUCCGGUGCGUACGUGUCGGUCCUUGAAAAUCUGAGGGAGAGUGUGAUUUUCGUGCCAGAUCGUACCCAUAUCCGCAGCAGGUCUCCAAGGUGAACAGCCUCUCGUCCAUUAAAGC